CCUACGGGGGGCAGCAGUGGGGAAUAUUGGACAAUGGGGGGAACCCUGAUCCAGCCAUGCCGCGUGUGUGAAGAAGGCCCUCGGGUUGUAAAGCACUUUCAGUGAGGAAGAACGCCUGGUGGUUAAUACCCAUCAGGAAAGACAUCACUCACAGAAGAAGCACCGGCUAACUCCGUGCCAGCAGCCGCGGUAAUACGGAGGGUGCGAGCGUUAAUCGGAAUUACUGGGCGUAAAGCGCGCGUAGGUGGCUUGAUAAGCCGGUUGUGAAAGCCCCGGGCUCAACCUGGGAACGGCAUCCGGAACUGUCAAGCUAGAGUGCAGGAGAGGAAGGUAGUAUUCCCGGUGUAGCGGUGAAAUGCGUAGAGAUCGGGAGGAAUACCAGUGGCGAAGGCGGCCUUCUGGACUGACACUGACACUGAGGUGCGAAAGCGUGGGUAGCAAACAGGAUUAGAUACCCGGGUAGUA
rnacentral:rRNA from 1 species